GUGCUGAUGAAGAGUCCAAAAUGGGGACGAAACAGCUUUCCAGUAC
rnacentral:hammerhead_ribozyme from 1 species